UAAUAACACAUUGUGAUACACAAAGCGUAUUUUUCAUUUGAAAAUGUAAGAUUUUCUUUCAAAGUCUGGGGAAAUAGUCACAGAGGUGUUCUGUGUUUGUUUGAUGUGGAACAUUCAUCAACAUUAAGAUUACAAAUCUGUCAAAACAAAAAAGGGUUUUUAAUAUUUCAAGAGCAUCAUGUCCAUAGUUUGCAUUGAAAUUUUAAUUACCAGGAAAAUCGCCAAGAAAUUAUAUUUCCCACUCAGCUUCAGCUGAUUUGCACACUAGUCUUCUCAUUUGACAAAAUUCCCAGCUAUAAAGAAAGAAACUCAUUUAAUUAUCUUCUAAAUUAUCACUUUUAAAAGACAAAAACUGAUAUUUAUUCACUUAGAACAACAAAUAUUCAUCAGGACAGACUUGAAUGCCAGCCUAAUCCAAACAGCAGAAGCAGUUUAACACAGCCAUUUCAUGAUGCAACAAAAGAAAGAAGUGUAAAAUAAAGGAACAGAUCUUUUAAUCCUUGCAAAUUCCCAGGGGGCACUAACUAAAUUCCCCAUGGUUUUCCAAAAUACAGCAAGCAAGUUGCCUACCCGUGCAGGUCAGCAGGGCAGGGAUUAACAGCAGAAACGACUCUGAAAAAUAUAUGGCAGGUUCUGUGGUUAGGCUCUUUUUAAAUUAAAGAAGAGAGAGGGGAAAGCCCUUUUCAUAACUGGCAUCCUUCACAACAACCUCAGCAUGCAAGUGAACAGCUGCGUGGAUGCAGAAUAUGAACAAAGCUUCUUAUACCAUGGAAAUCACUUUCAAGUCAGAGAUGGGGCACAUUUAUGAGGUGGGCUGCAAGAAUGCUGUAGUUCUAUUAUCAGUGAAGAGGAGGAGAUAAAUUGAAAACUUCAGACUUUCUUAUACAUGUCUACUAAGAAGUAAUUCACAUGAAGGCUGAUGGGUUCCUUGCAAUAAGGUGGUAUAGGAUUGCACCCUCUUUAGAUGUAUUUUUAAAGGUUUGGUUGGUGCUUUUUGUGGUAAAAUAAUCAGAACAUUCCUCAUGUACAUCUAACAUGGGAGCAAACUAAAAAUUCCGGAAAAAUUAAAUUAGCCGGUUUUUGAAUUCUUUAAUGCAGUGCAGAAUUUUUGUGAUCUUGUUAUUCGGUUGAUAUUUUGUGUGUAUUGCCUAAAGUCCUUAUUCUGGAUUAGAGCUGAACAUUUUAUUUUACAUGUGCAUGAUGUUGUUAUAUCUUGAAAGAACCCCCCAAAAAAGUGGGAAAGUGAACAUCAUUGGACAGCGUCACUACUAUCUUAUUCUCCCCCCCCCCAUGUUUCUCUUAUGAAUUCAGCAGGAAAUACUGCAUGCCAUAAACCUGCCUCAAAUUUCAUCACUUCACUUCCGCAAUUUUCUGGGUUAAAGUGGUUGCUAACCGAUUUUUAUUUUUUUAUUUUUUGAAGCAAUUAACACAGAACUGACCACCAAACAUUCAACAUUUUUCCUAUAGGUUUCCAGAAGUAGGUUUUAUGUCACGCAAAAGCUCAAAUAAAGUGCAGAAAUUAGCAGAGAAAUGUCAGGGAAACAUAAUCUACUUCUGUGUGAAUGCAGCCUAUGUUUCAAACAAUACAGACAGUACUGUGUUUCUUUCUCUCCUGUACAAAUAGAUUGCCACUUGCUCCCCAGGCCCUGAAGGUAUGUCUGUGCUUCUGUGCAAUGCUGAACUGGAACUGCCUUUUGUUCUGCAGAUUAUAUGUCCGCUUCUGGGCCUGCAACAGGUUACCAAGAGAUGGAUCUGUUGAAGGUCACAGUACUGGUGCACUUAAGCAGAUGAAAGAAAGAAAGAAAGAAAGAAAGAAAGAAAGAAAGAAAGAAAGAAAGAAAGAAAGAAAGAAACUUAUUUCAGGUUUGUGCUUGGUUUUUCCUCUAGUUUUCAUCUCUCCGUGAAGCUGGUCUAAUCAUAUUUAUACUUUCUUUCUAAAUAACACACAUUUUUUCAGUUGCAGCAGACUUUUCAUUCUUAUGCUCUUGUUUGUUUCUCUUUAAUUGUCCAUUUCCUUUUCAGUCACUUAUGGGACAGCGACAGCAAGGAACACGUUUCCCAACCCACUCUGAGGACCCAAUUCAUAAAUCACACAAUCAUUUCUGAAGAGAAAAUGGCAAAGAGGCUUUACAAAAUGAUGUAUGGAAGUGAGAGCUGGACCAUAAAGAAGGCUGAUCGCCGAAGAAUUGAUGCUUUUGAAUUAUGGUGCUGGAGGAGACUCUUGAGAGUCCCAUGGACUGCUAGAAGAUCAAACCUAUCCAUUCUGAAGGAAAUCAGCCCUGAGUGCUCCCUGGAAGGACAGAUCGUGAAGCUGAGGCUCCAAUACUUUGGCCACCUCAUGAGAAGAGAAGAAUCCUUGGAAAAGACCCUGAUGUUGGGAAAGAUUGAGGGCACUAGGAGAAGGGGACGACAGAGGACAAGAUGGUUGGACAGUGUUCUCGAAGCUACGAACAUGAGUUUGACCAAACUGCGGGAGGCAGUGCAAGACAGGAGUGCCUGGCGUGCUAUGGUCCAUGGGGUCACGAAGAGUCGGACACGACUAAACGACUAAACAACAACAACAACAUGUAGCAUUAAAAAAAAUCAAAAUUCUUAAAGGCAUAGCCAAACUGAACACACACUCUCUCACUCUCACUCUCACUCUCUCUCUCUCUCUCUCUCUCUCUGUGUGUGUGUGUGUGUGUGUGUGUACAUACACACACGGAAAACAUCAGCCAUGGAAGAGGGAGCACUUCCUUCCUCAGUGAGAGUUGCAAACAUUAGGGCAAAAGCUUGUAUAUGGAGCUCAAAGGGAUAUAAAAACAGAAACAGGGAUAUUCAGUUUUCAAAAAUCAUUGACCAACCUAGGACCAGUUUUUAAAUGACUGAGCCCCCUGUGAUUGUCGCCUUCCAGAAUUGCAUUGGCUCAUUCUCAGGGCUCUGAGUUUUGUGUGCCCCAUCAGUUUGCCAGCCCCUACAGAAAUUACUUAUUGUGAUAAUACCGCUACAAUUCCUAUGGACCCAGAAUUAUGGGAACUGGUAAAAAUUAAACCAAAGCAGGUUGCAAAUGGCCUAUUUAAUUUCAGCUGCCACAGGCAGGCAGUUGCUGAUUUCUGCAAACUGUUAUCCCACCCUCCAAGAAUGGCUGUCAUCUCUCCGCUGUGUAAGCCUUGGUCAUGGGUAUCUGUCGCCUCUGUUGCACAAAGCAACAACUGCCUCUAGACUGUAAUAGGCUGAUUUAUCACUGUCAGGGGUUUAUUUUAUUAUUUUAUUUUAAAUGACUAUCAUUAUUAAGGCUCCUUUUGAGAUUACAUACAUAUUUAUAAGUACAUUAUGCUAGGCUGAGGAAAUCAUUCCCAGGCUUAUAAGAGAGCACUAUUAGGGUCAUGAAGUUUUUACAGCUUAUUUGGUGUUUGUUAAGUGGUACUGGAGCUUUCCCAUUCCCUCUGUAUGGUAAUUGCUGCCUGUAAUUGAGAGCAUCUGCUGUGUCUACUGCAAAGGGCAUUGUUUUCAUAUUGAUCUGUCAUUUUCCUUCAGCCAAAUAGGAGGAGAUUUUUAUCUUGAUGACUAGCAACCACAGUGUUCAUUUGAAUGUAUCACAGCAAAGAAGGAUGUCAAGGUGCCCUCCUAUGGAGGCAACACUUCUUCCGCUGCUGUAUUCCAUCCAUUCCCUUCUAUGCUAACAGCGGCCACCCAUGAUUUCCUGGAUUGCUGUCAGGUCCAGCUUCUGUAUAACUAAGGGGGACGAAGAGCAGUUCUCCCAGCUGUCCUGCCUGUUAGCCGGGGAUCAUGGGAGUUGUAGGCCAAAACAUCUGGAGGGCCGCAGUUUGGGGAUGCCUGGACUAUACCCAUAGAUUUCCUCUAAUAAGCUGUUGCUAUCAAAGUCUAUCACAGCCAAUGUAAUUCUUAUUUUAAAAAGUAAUUAGACUUAAGACCCAUAAAGAGACAACAGACCAUUGCCUAGAUUACUUGGAUCCAUUCCAGUCUGGCUUCAGGCCUGGUCAUGGCACAGAAGCUGCCUUGGUCACCCAGGAGAGAGAGGCAGGGACCCUGCUUGUUCUUCUUGAUCUCUCAGCGGCUUUUGAUACUGUUGACCAUGGUAUCCUUCUAGAGCAGAGUUUCCCAAACUUGGGUCUCCAGCUGUUUUUGGACUACAACUCCCACCAUCUCUAGCUAGCAGGAGCAGUGGUCAGGGAUGAUGGGAAUUGUAGUCCAAAAACAGCUGGAAACCCAACUUUGGGAAACACUGUUCUGGAGCCUCUCGGUAGGUUGGGGGAGCUGUGUUUUAGUGGCUUUGCUACCCCCAGGGUCAUUUCCAGAAAGUAGUCUUGAGAGGCUACUGUUCAGCACCAUGGACAAUGUCAUGUGAUCCCCCCCCCCCGCGCGCGCGCAAUGCUAGUUAACAUUUAUAUGAAUUCAUAGAAUACUGAAGGUGUGCUUCUUUCCCCUGGUUUUUGACACUUAAGGUGUAUAUUUUUAGGACCCUCCUUAUUUCUGUAAUUGUUAAUUGUUCUGAGCUGCUUUUUUAAUAUUGUGUGAUACUGGAUUUUAAUAUUAAUCUUGGGUUUUAGUUCCAAUAACCCACCCUGGGACCUUAUGGUGAAGGGCAGGUAAUAAUAAACUGCAACAACUACAACAUGUAUUAUUAUUUGAAAUUUGGACUGAGCUGAAACUUUUCAAGGUUUUGGAAACAAUUUUGGCAAUGUUAAUGUCUCCCUCUUUGAUUAUUUUUGCAGUCCUUGCCGUGAAAAAAAAUAUGGCUCAGUUACUCAUUUAAUGCAUUUGGUGAUAUUUCCAAGCCAAAUCUGUUUGGAUACACAGCAUCGUUAUGUUAUCCAGUUCAUGAAGUGAGCCUUGAUGGGGAGGAAUUAUCCAUGUGACUAAUUCAGGAAGGAAAAAGGAAAAGCAGCCACAGGAAACAUUAACAUUGAAAAGGAUUGGAAAUCUAACUGAACAUAAAAACAUAAGAAUAUCCCUGCUGGGCCCAGACUAAAGAUCUAUCUAUUCCAACAUCUUGUUUUCACAGUGGACAACCAGAUGUCUAUGGGACCUAAGCAAGACCUAAGCACAAUGGCAUUCUCCCAACCAUGAUCCCCAGCAUUUGUUACUGUAUUCAGAAGCAUUCCUGCAUCUGGUGCUAGAGGUAAUAUGGCCAUUUAUGGCCUUAUCCUCCAUGAAAUAACCUCACUCUUCAUCAUAUUAUUUUUCAGGAGAAAUGUCAACCCCACCCAAAUGUCUUGUUUUAACCCAAAAAUCAAAAGUGGAGAAUAUUCAGUAUUGCUAAUUUUUUUAAAAAAUAUAUUAUAUAUUCCUCUGGUCAAUUACACUGACUAUAUUGGCUACUCUGUUUUUAGAGUUGAUCAUUAUCAACCAGUUUGAAAACUUUCCCGAGUCAAUCAGUAUUCAUAGCUGCCAAGUUUUCCCUUUUCUCACGAGGAAGCCUAUUCAGCAUAAGGGAAUUUCCCUUAAAAAAAGGGAUAACUUGGCAGCUAUGUCAGUAUUUCAGUGCUAUCAUUGUAACAGGCCAUUAAAUCCCAGCCAUUACAAAUCUUAUUCAAGGUUCAACAAUUCCAACAGGUGGUAGUGUUUAAUUCUGUAAUCAAUUGUGUCAGCUAGGUAUACUCAAUGACAAAAGUACCCAAGCAUAAAGCUUUCGGGUCGGACAUUUUCACAAACCUUCUGUUAAUGCUUCACCUUCAUAUUGACUAUUGUAGGUUUACAUGAAAAGACAAUGGGCACAAUAGUAAUAAGUUCUGGCUUUAGACUCUGCCUUUAGGAACUAGAUGUACUUUCACAGCUGCUUCAUAACAUUACACGCAUGACCCUUGCAAAGUUACACAUUUUUAAAUCCAGGCUCAAUGGGACAAGCUUUAAGUACAUGCUAAACUCUCCCAUCCAAAUCAAUAGGACCCAGAAGCUCUUGUUUUUCGGAUCAAUCAUGUCCUUUGUUUUCAAUAACGCAAUGGGUUUAUGAGUAAUGCAGGUGUCCAACUUUGUAUAUGAGUUAUGUGUGUCAUGGAAUCAGGAAUGGCUGUAGCUCCCACCACAUGUAUGAAUGGCAGAGAACACACAUUUUCCUACCAUGUAACAGAUGACAUUGCAAUUAGUUUACUGGCAAAGAGUGGGCAGAAGAAUGGAAACCAUGGCGAGGGGGAGUUGUAGAUAGCCUUGCACAAUACUUCUGAGAACUAUGUUCAAUUUCUGUUCUCCUUUUUUGUACAUCACCACCAGUAGCUAAGCCUCUGCAGGCAACAUUUAGCCCUCAUUUACAACUGGUUGUGUGCCUGCAUAAAUGUGAUUGAGGCUUAAUCAACUUUAUGGAUGCACAACUGCUAAUAGAAUCUUGCUCAUUCUCUUUGCUGUAUUUGGCUUUGCAUCACUAGCUGAAUUAAAAAGCAAUAAGGGGGGGGGGGAGGUUGUCACAAAAAAAUAAGCAAACCUGGCACUUGAUGUAAAUAGGGAGCAGAUAUUAUCAGAACAAGAUGGGGACUAUUCUUUUAAUAGCUACCUUUCAGAACAGAAUGACACUUUGAAAACAUUGCAUUAACAUUGCGCUGAACUUGGGAAUAAAUGUAAGUACAAUGAUUUGACGUCAACUCAAGAGAACAGUGUUUUCGUAAAUUUCUGACAAAUCUAUCUUUAAAGCAGUGACUUGGAAGGCAAAGCCAGAUGAAGUUGUAUGGCUUCUUCACUCACUGCACUGCUUGUAGAAUUAAUGAGCACACUAAUUGGAAAGUUGAUAACUUUUAACUACUGUUAUCUGACACACAUUGUGAAGUAGAAAAAGAAUAUACUAGAAAUGCCAUUAAUAGCUAGGUGGCAUCUUCAAGUUGGGAAAACUUUUUAGUUCUGAGGCUUACGAAAGUCUAUGUAAGAAUGGACAGAUUGGUCUAUUUCCAGUUCAUGACGGUUUUUCAUGUGGUCAUUCCUAAUUUAUUUAUCUCAAUAUACAGAUUUCUAAACAUAUGAAUUUUCAGCACACUUUGGUAUGUUUUUCAAGCUGAGACCUGUAUCUCAAAAGCUCAAAAACUACACAUUAGUGCAGGAAGUGUGGAUCAGGUUAAUUCACAUUGGAAUUCACAGAAAUCAAAUUUGUCAAGCAUCCCUAAGACUAAGAUACAGUUUGCAUUUCACUUAUCAACACCUAAUAUCCUUGGCCAAGUGACUUCACAGCAAUUCUGGAAAAGGAAUUCUGAUUUCUAAAACAACCUUUGACCCAGCAGCAAGCAGCAGCAUCAAAUUGCUAGGUUCGAAACUGGGUCCUGUGUUGCUGAUGAUUAAUAUGAAAUUUUGUUGAAACCACUUUGCAGUGUUUUUUGCAUUGACUUGUUCCAUUUCAUAAUGGUACAUUACUUUUACUUAGGAGUCUUUAUUCAUGAAGGUGAAAAUGAUCUAAAAGCAUGUCUACUCAACAGCUUGGAGACAUAAGGAAGAUUAAACAGGCAGAACUUUUGCUUCUCAACACCAGCCAGUGAGCCUGUGAUUAAUAUAACAUGUUAUAUAUUGUAACACUGAACAGUGUUAGCCUUUUGAGUUUCCACUUUCCUUGUGCAAGAGAUGUUACAGAUUUGUUCUAUACCAGGUGUGCUCCCCAAUGGGUGUGCCCUAUUGAGUUCCACCACGCUCCACUCCACACAUUAAAGCAUCCAUUAAAAGCAUUUUCUGUUUUAAACCUUAAUCAGUGUGCCUGUGCGUCAUGUGCAGAAUGCAGUCACAUAAUCCUGGGAGCAUGGUUUGGUCACAAAACCUUGCUGAAUAGACAGGAAGCAGAAAAUAAGUAUCUGCUGCUGUCUAAAGCACCAUGUGGCCCUCAGGCAUGCCAUUACCGGGACAGUGAAAGGGUGAGGUGAGAUGGCAGGACCAGCUCUGGGUUGGUGGUGGCAGCCUCACAAGUGCAUGUGCACCUGUAGGCUGCCACCAAUGCCACCCCAAAUCUUCCUCAACCUUACCACUGCCUGACCUGCCCCAUUCCAGUGAAUGCCCUGCUGGGAAGGUGCCACUGUCAAUCUGUCCCCUUCUUCAUGAACCACUGCUGGUGGCUCAUCAUACAGAGUUCCAUGAUGCAGAGUUCCCACUUGGUCACUUUUUAACCAGCUGGAACAAGGUGGAACCCAGGUGUGAAAUUGUUAAGAAUAAAUGUGAGUACAAACAGAAAUGGUGCGAUGGCAAAGUGAUAAAUUCCAUUUCGGCAAAAUCCAUCUCCAUUUGUUGAAUAAAGCAAAGCAACCCAACUAGAUCAACCCAUGGAUGAUUCAGAUCUGUGUAGGAAGCCAUUUGAAAGGGGGAUGGAUCUGGAAGGUGCUCCACAUGGCAAGUGAUUUGUGUGAGUAGCUGAGGUUAUUUCUAUCGUGCUAUUACAAAAUCCCCAAAACAGAUGUUUUGCAGUGGUUUGUUUAAAAAUGGCCUUAACCGCACUUCCCACAAUUGGUUGAUAACAUGUAAUUGCAUUCAAAACAUUUGCCCACCUGGUGUCAGCAUGCAUCAAUCAGAUCUCAGAAGAAGCAAAUGAGAAAAGUCCAGAUCCAAGGAGGAUGCAGCUAGUAAAUUGAAGAAAGGGACUGCUUGCACCUAAUGAAUGUUGUGGCCAUGUUGCCAGUGGCUGGUCCGGUGCCUUAGCCAAGGCUAUGUGUGGCCUCCCUGUACUAAGAUUUAAUGUGCACCUCUCAAGAAAGCCCUUAGGGACUGCACAUUAAGAUCCACUAUGCCUUGAAAGUGCUCAGCAUGUCCCAUAUUAAUAAUCAGGGGACAGAAGUACAACCAGGGGUUGAGAAUUAUUCACUUGAUCCUGGUCUGGGGGGUCUUGAAAUUUGGCCAGAUUAUACAGUUUGGUAGGAAGACGCUUCAUCCCAGCUUUUACUUUCCUAGGACAAAUUGUCUUGAUUUUUUAUGAUGAAUAGACUUUUCAAGUGUUAUAAUGGUAGAGCACUGAAAAAGCUGGCUGCCUUAAUUAUAUUCAGCCACUCUUGUAGCUGUAUAAUUUGUCUCUCUUUUUGUCGCUGAAUGACAGCUACAACUCAGGAAUAUGUUUUUCUGCUGAAAAAGUCAGCAGAGACAUACUCUCUGAUUUUUGGGAGGCUGCACUGGGAUAAAAUUUCACCUGCUUACUUUGUAUUAACAAUGCUUAUGUCACCAAAUAGCCAGUAAUAUGCAUCUUUCUUAACAAUAAGCCGGGGUGUUGCACAAGGGAGGUGGCUAAACAGGGACUUGAGUGGCCUGAUUAAUAAUACUAUCCCCUGAAUACCACUUGCUGUGAAUAACUAUGAGGAGAGACCCUAUUCUGUUCAUGUUCUGCUUGUGAACAUCCCAUAUAGGCAUCCACUGUGAGAACAAGAUGCUAGACUAAAUGGGUUUUUUGGCCUCAUUCAACAAGGCUCUUACAUUCUUAUUCAAUGAUCUUCUUAACUGGUGAAUCAUUCCCAUUUCUAAAACCUCAAUUAAUUUAUCCCAAGCUUCUGAAAUAACAAAAUCAAGAGAAAAAUAGAAGCCAAUUAUUCCCUGUUGCUCCAACUGAUAGUCAGUGCCCUUGCCUUUAGAACAGAACACACUCUGGCCAUUUAGAGUGAACCCAACCAACAGCUUUUACAUAAAUACAUGGGGUGGGGAAUGGCAACACAUGGGAAACCAUCACGUUUCCAAUUCAAAAAUAUCUGACUUUCUAAUUUAGUUUCCUCCACUUUCCCUUUGAGAUUUGUCAAGCGGUAUAAAAGCAUGCUUUUGAAAGAAGGGUUGACAGAAAGCCAAUAAAAGGACUUAGCUUGGAAAAAGCCACAGUGUUCUGAAGCUGCAGUAAUGGCUAUGUUACAAAUGGCUUAAUAAUUUUGCAGAAACAACUGAAACCCGUAAUGCAAUUGCUUUCCUCCAGCAUGGUGAGAUAGAAAUGAACAGUAUCAUUUCUGAGCUCUUCAGAACUAGAUUUGGUCUAUCAGUUUUGUUUGCAAUGUGCCUGGCAUAUUGGACGCACAGCAAGAAACAUAUUGCUUUAUUUGAUAACUUGGCUAGUUUGAGUAAUUGCAUAUAGCCAAACUUGUUUAUUAAGCUACCCUGUGUGUUUACUAAGGAACAGAAGAUGUUGCACCCAGUAGAAUAAUCCCUUCCUAUGAUAAGGUCAUUUGAACAGAAAGAAAACAAAUACUACACUGCAAAUGCCAAGCCUAUUUAAAUUCAUGCUGAAAUUUGAAUUUCUUUCAAAGUAGAAAAGUGAAUUGAAACUGUGCUGCUUUUGAAGGACUGACUGCAUUCACAUUCACCCAGGAACUGCUCUUAUUUGUUUUCUCACCAGCACCAGACCAAUGAACAUUUUGUUACUUCCACCACAGUUUUAUUCUCUUUGAAACUAAACUAUACCAUACAAGUUGGACAAGAACAACUAACUCUUUAUGCAGACGUAAGGCUAUAAAACCCAUGAUGCAUUGUCACUGUAUGAAAUAUGCAUGGCUGAAAACAUCUGAGGACUCUAUAAUUUUGAGCAAGGAGUUUACAAUACUGUCGAGUACAUCUGAGCAACAAGAAUCAGCUGAAAUCUGAAAAGCCAGAAAGAUUCCCCCCACCCCAGAAAUCCCUGCUUGGGGUUGGUAUAACCAUUUUAAAAACAAAACUCUCCUCCAGAUUCUGCACAUAUCUAUGCAAAACUUCUGAACGUCGGUUGAGAAGUGAUUGAUGAUCUGGUGUAGAGUAAGGCCAUCCAAUAAUUGCUUUGGCACAGAUUCGGUGUUCACUGUACCACACAUCCUGCAAUACUGAAAAGGUCAUAAAUCAGACCAAGUACUGUAUGGUUCAUUUUCUCUCUGGGACAAUUCAGACAUCGUGAUAAACCACAGUUUAUCAAGCUUUGUGUUUGCAUGCUGCCUGGUAUCCGAUGUGUUCCUGAAGAGAAAAUCUGAACCUUUUCACUUCCAUUGUAGAUUAACUACAGUUUAGCCUUACAAUCAAACCCUAAACUGUGGAAAAUCUUAACUAUGGUUUCUUGAAACAAGCUAGCUGCAUAACUCAUGGAUUGAAGUUGACUUGCUUCAAACAAUCAACAGUUUAUUGAUUUAGAAUGAAAUGACAAGCUGUGGUUAAUCAAAAACAGGAGCUAAAUCUCCUCCUUGGGGCUGUGAUGAAAGAGGGGAGGAGAGGAGUGAAAGGGCUUGCUUGACGCUUACUGUGGCUCAUUCCCAUCACAAUAAAACAGGCAUCCCCAAACUCGGCCCUCCAGCUGUUUUGGGACUACAAUUCCCAUCAUCCCUGACCACUGGUCCUGUUAGCUAGGGAUGAUGGGAGUUGUAGUCCCAA